GAUGUUGGGUUAAGUCCCGCAACGAGCGCAACCCUUGAUCUUAGUUGCCAGCACUUCGGGUGGGCACUCUAAGGUGACUGCCGGUGACAAACCGGAGGAAGGUGGGGAUGACGUCAAAUCAUCAUGCCCCUUAUGACCUGGGCUACACACGUACUACAAUGGCCGGUACAACGGGCUGUGAAGCCGCGAGGUGGAACGAAUCCUAAAAAGCCGGUCUCAGUUCGGAUUGCAGGCUGCAACUCGCCUGCAUGAAGUCGGAAUUGCUAGUAAUCGCGGAUCAGCAUGCCGCGGUGAAUACGUUCCCGGGUCUUGUACACACCGCCCGUCACACCACGAGAGUUUAUAACACCCGAAGUCGGUGGGGUAACCGCAAGGAAGCCA
rnacentral:rRNA from 1 species